UGAGUCAUGAAUUUGAUGUGGGAGUUAAAUUAAUUAUGUUGAAGUUAAAGGCUUAGUGCCUAAAUGCAUUGCAAUAAAAUGUAGUAGGCUAUCUAACAAAGUAGCCUAUGUGAAGGAAGGUAUCGUUAUUCUGAACCUGUGCCUUAGGCAAUGUUUACAACUGCCUGGUAAAAGUGACUCGAUUUAUUGCUCAUAUGUGGCACAGAUUGGAUAUGUAUUAUGAACGUGUACACCGGAAAGAAGCACAUGGAAUCGGAUACUCUCAGAUCCGUUUCGGGCCUCAUUCUUAUGUGGAAAUAAAUCCGAUAUUGAUAUCUGUAAAUGCUACGGUCACCUAAACGGACAGAUCGUCUUUUCUGCAUUUGAAUGCCGUAUAACGUUACUUUCACGUGCACAACUGGCAAAACAGCGGAAAGUGAAAUGGAGGACCAAGGUUCAGGCCAGUGGACACCUGCCGAAGUUACCUGUCUUUGCAGACCUCUGAAGAUGCUUCGGUGUAAUUAUUUCGUUUGCGUCCGUUGCAGUGCUGGCUGGACUGACUUGACUUUCGUUUCGGUAACCAAACCCUCUUGUGCACACGCGGGUUGAUUCAAGUAUGAAGCAAGUGGAAACACAGCGGUCUGGAGGCUCUACCAAGAUGGCUGCUGAGUGGCGACUUACAGGAGUGCUCUGUGUUUGAAGAAAAGGGGAAUAAUUCACUUCACCACACAAUGUCAACCUUUCCAUUCCACUGGUGCGACAUAAAGAGGACACCUGACUCUCCCUCCCUCCCUGUCCUUUCUUUUCAUUCCCAUGCUUUUUCACACUGUACUACUAAUAUUGACAUCUACUGCUAAAAUGUGCUCAGCUCUAGCUGACCUCGUGUGAACCACACUGAGAAUAUUCUGAUUUGAACCAUUUUAACAUAAUCGUACUACAGUACACAAGGGCUGUUGGAUGGACUGUGGAAGGAGAUCCCACUAUGCUGCAAAUAUGGUGAGGGGUUCAGCCAAACCCAUAUAACCCAUUGCUCAACUCGUCAUUUGGCAUCUCUCAUCCCCUGGCUUCAAACCAAAUGACAGAGACCCAGAAUAGCACAGCUGCCUGUGCUUUAUGACUGCUAGCUUAGACACCUAGGCUCCAUGAGAGGAGCAUUUCGGGACUGUAGAGCUGCCAAAAUACUCCAUUAAUCUCCAUGAAAACAGAAGGACAUGGGUAGAGUCAACUUUCCUGUCUGCUCUGCACAGAAUAUGCAAGAAGGAAAUCAAGACACAACAACACUAACACACAAGGACAAGCAUAUGGGAGCAUGAGUGCAUGUACAGAUAUGCAGACACACAGCUGUUUGAUGGCUGAGCUGCCAUAGACACAGUAGUUUAUAUUCCAAUCAAAUUGUAACUGAUGGAGAUAAUUUCCAAACACUGUUAAUGACUUAAGAAUAUAAUAAUCAAGUGCCUUGUAUUAUUAAUUACCUUAUAUAAAUCAUGUACUUAUGUAAGCAGGAACAUGGCUUUUCUGUGUUUCUGCGUGUGUGUAACUUAGAUUAUUAGGUGCCACUUAGUCUGCAUAUGUACAAGAGCAUGUUUAGACCAGAAGUGAUGAGAAGGGUCGAACUGUGCUUCUUCCGACCUUGCAAAACUUCCAUCCGUGCCUCGGACGUCAGAAAUCCACCACGUGGUUUUCCCUGCUGAACGCUAAACUUCUGUCUAUAUAAACCUUGUGCGAUGUGUUUAAUAUUGCUUCACUUUCAGCCUUGUGCUGGGAGUGAGCCCAAUUGCAAUUGUUGUUUGUCUAAAAAAUAUACUUAUAUGCAGCUCCGGAGUCCUGAGGUAACUAGGGUGAAUUUUCACCUAACAGUAACAUCGACAGCAUUGAUUACAUAUUGAUUAUCUAAUGAUGUUCCUGACAGAAAAUAACUGUGUUUGAGAUCUGUGUUUGUUUUCACUGACAUUUGUGAUUGUGAUUAUUGAAUUCAAGUUUAAAUUUGCAGAAUUCUUGGUCAUACCACACUUCCUCUUAAAGUCUUGCAGUGUGGCCAAACCAAUGGUGCAUGUAAUCCUUACAGUAAAGAGCCUUUGUAUUUGAAGACAGAAAAAGCAUUCAAACACAAAAUAAAUCCUCAUCCAGGA
ensembl:lncRNA